GCAGGCACUUUGCAUAAGUGCCCUGCACGUAAUGCCUUAGUGUAGAGGUGGGCACUCACACAUAUUGUUACAUUUGUACACGCAUACUAUUACUGUUUGUGUGUGAAGCAGCGAAAGCACGAAGUUGAUCAUGUCGUUCCCCUGCAGUACGGCUGGUAUGAAUUGGUGAAUUGCACUAGUGAAUUCUUGUGUUACAAGUAACUAGAGAAUUAACAACAACGAGGUAAUGCAGAGAAGCAAUAGUACAUGAGAGAGAUUGAGAGAGAAGAGAGCAUGAUCUAGAGAACGUUGUGCUUAAUUUGUACUCUCAGUAGAAUAUUACCGACAAAUAAGGGUGGGAAUGCAAUUUUGAGAGAUCGAAGCAAAAAUAACGCAGAAUAAUAACGGCAGAGCAUCUCGUACAGUAAGUACAAGUUGUAAAUAAUUAUUGGAUCAUUAUAGUAUUUACGUACAAGUUGGUCAUUGAAAGCAUGAUUUACUGUAGUAGAAAGAAAGGCAUCAGCGUUUUCUUUGUAAUUCUGAUAUUUCAUUUUUCGCAUAAUAGUUGUUCUCUGAUUGUACAAUUGAUCUCGCGUCGCGGGUUCUAAUACGUUUAUUGUUUAUUAAAAGUGUUAUUAAAAGGUGAAUAAUUAAAUGAAAUAAUAGUGAAUAAAAACAAAGAAAACAUAAAUAUUUUAUGCAAAAAAAUGGAUUGCCCUGCACAAUGAAAAGAGAUCAACACCAAAUUUUAAUGGAACUCUUAGAAAUGUGACUUGGGGAUAUAAGUGCAGUGAUAUAUAUGUCGCUUUUGAAUCCAGCCGAAGUGCACAAAAACUUCUGACUUGACUUCUUCUGACUUGACUGAUAUUAACCGACCCUGUUGUUCAGAUGGUAAAUAUAAUUGUAAAC